CCUACGGGUGGCAGCAGUGAGGAAUAUUGGUCAAUGGGCGCGAGCCUGAACCAGCCAAGUAGCGUGAAGGAUGACUGCCCUACGGGUGGUAAACUUCAUUUAUAAAGGAAUAAAGUGAGGCACGUGUGCCUUGUUGUAUGUGCUUUAUGAAUAAGGAUCGGCUAACUCCGUGCCAGCAGCCGCGGUAAUACGGGGGUUCCGAGCGUUAUCCGGAUUGAUUGGGUUUAAAGGGAGCGUAGAUGGGUUGUUAAGUCAGUGGUGAAGGUUUGCGGCUCAACCGUAAAAUUGCCCUUGAUACUGGCAGUCUUGAGUACAGUUGAGGUAGGCGGCAUUCCUGGUGUAGCGGUGAAAUGCUUAGAUAUCACGAAGAACUCCGAUUGCGAAGGCAGCUUACUAAACUGCCACUGACAUUGAUGCUCGAAAGUGUGGGUAUCAAACAGGAUUAGAUACCCGAGUAGUC
rnacentral:rRNA from 1 species